GCCGAAUGCGGAUGUCCUUCUGGGCCAGCUCCUCCUUCAACCUUCGGAUCUCAUCCUGCUGCCGGAAGAACAUUCGUAGGAGCUGCGGUGGAGGAGAGAGGGGGCCGUGGAGGGCCAGGGAGAGAGCCGAAGGCUCAGGACACAGGAUGAAAUCUACCCUUGAUCUUGCUGACAUGAAAACUAUGACAGGAAUACCAAAGGUUGCCUCGGGCAGGGCUUCAUUUAUUGAGAGACAGAGUCCCACUCUGUUGCCCUGAGUAGAGUGCCGUGGCCUCGUAGUUCACAGCAACCUCAAACUCCUGGGUUCAAGUGAUCCUCCUGCCUCAGCCUCCCAAAUAGCUGGGACUAUAGGCACCUGCCAAAACACGGGGCUAUUUUUUCUAGUUUUAGUAGAGACUGGCUCUCACUCUAGCUUAGGCUGGUCUGGAACUCCUGAGCUCAGGUGAUCAACCCACCUUGGCCUCCCAGAAUGCUAGGAUUACAGGUGUGAGCCACUGUGCCUGGCCUAUGUUUUAUGUUUUAAGUGAAAAUAAGUGGUUUAAAGAAUGUAUCAUUUUUAUGAUUCCCUCCAUUGUCGGACUUUACAAUAAAGUUUUGCUGACCAACAAACCACCAGUCCUGAUUAUGUCUGUUCAGAGGGAUAAUAGAUUAUUUGCCCUUAGACUAAAUGAUUCCACAUACCCUUGUGUCUUCCAGGUUCUCAAAAAUAUUUUUGCAUAGUUUUUGGUCCACUUUGGUAAAAAAAACAGUUUUAGUGAAGUAUAAUUCACAUACCAUAAAAUUUGCUCGUUCUAAGUGUAGUGAUCUUUUGUAAAGAUCUUUAGUAAAGUUAGUGAGUUGUACAACCAUAAGUCUCUUCACCUGCAUCAAGCCAUCAGCUGUCAACUCACACUUAGAUCAAUUUGUCUACCUUCUACAGCCCUGCUUUCUAAUAGGUUGCUUCCAGUCUGCUGUGAUGAUUAAAACUACGUGCAAAGCCAGAGUCAGCAGGCCCUAAGGAAGCCUCUUCCCCAUGAGGAAGAUGUACAGCGUUAGUGUAGAGAGACUGUGGCAUCUGUUUUGUCUGCUUUAUGACUUUCCCUGGAGUUCUCAGUUUUGAUUCAUACAGACAAGGCUCUAGCUAAAUGUCACUUGCUGUGACUGGUAUCAACGCUGCCUUUCCCAUACCUUGUACCAGAACCUUGUUACUCAGGCUCAGGUCCUUGUUACUGCUCAUCUGGGCUAUCACAGCAACCUACAUUAUCUCACCUUUGAGAAAGAAUGCUUUUUCAAAAACGGACAAAUUUAAAAAAAAAAAAGGAAAAUGAGAUAUAUAUAUAUCACAGCACUAUGAAUCCCCAAGAACCCAUCACCUGCUUCAACUAAUAAUAUGUGGCCAUUCUUGCUUCAUCUCUAUUCCUACCACUUCUCCUACACCACCCCCCUCAGGGGCUAUUUUGAAGCAAAUCCCAUUUAUCACAUCAUUUCAAAUAGCAAUACUCAGGUUACCUGUGCAUCGCCCCUUUAAGAUGGCAUGGUUCCAGAGGUCAAGAACUGGGACCUAACUUAUUUUUAUUAUAAGAGUGAUAACAUAAGUCGGUGGGACAGGCUGCAUCUCAGAAACCCCCCUGUCAUAUUCUCUAUUAGCUUGCUUCAAACUUAUAAAAUAGGGCAGAAGUGGUGGGUCAUCCUUUCCAAGAUUAGGUUACAAGACUGUGGCUUCCAUUUUGGAUACUCUCUCUUGCUCUUGAGCUUAGCACUCUGAGGGACACCAGUGGCCAUGGCUGUGAGCCACCCUGUGGAGAAGUCCAUACGGCAGGGUCCUGAAAGAACCUUCUGGCCAACAGCUCUUGAGGAACUGAGGCCUUCAAUCUAGCUGCCUUUGAGGACAUGAGUCUUGUCAGCACCUACAUGGUGAACUUGGAAGCAGAUCCUUUCUUAAUUGAGCCUUCAGAUGUGACUGCAACCCCAGGGGACGGUAUAACUGCCUUCAUGAGAGACCAUGGGCCACAGGCACCCCUCCAAAACUUGUGAAAUAAUAACUGUUUAUGGGUUUCAGUCAUUAAAUUCUGGGGCAAUUUAUUACACAGUAGCAGAUAGCUAAGAAAUUGGCUUCUUUCUUUGAGCACUCAAUAUUAGGAAGGGUGCUAGACACUUAUGGAUUCUCUCUUAAUGCUCAUAGCACUUCGUAUCUUCAUUUUACCUAAAAAAUUGGACUUAGAGAGGUCCGGAAACUUGCGCUAUCAUAGCUAGGAAAUGGCAGAGCUGGAUUUCAAGUGCAGGGUGGGGAACCAUGCAGCCAUCUCUGUUUCAGCUGCUUCAGGCCUUGUGCCUGGCACAUGGCAGUCCUAGCCAAGCUGAACUGUGUUGGCACCAGGGACUAGGGGUGUGUGUUGGAAGGAGAUGCCCUCAGGGGCACGGACAAGGCCCUGAAAGAGCUUGCUCCUAUUCAAGAUGGUACAAAGAGCACUUUCAUAGACAACCAGCUUUUUCUCCAAAGACAGGAGGGUCAGGCCCUAUCAUUGCGUCAAUGCCAGGAGGAAGGCAGGGCUGUGAUGUGGGAGGCCAGGCUUCCACUGUCAAUCAGGAAUGUAUGACUCCCUUAACAAUAAAAGACAGCCACAUUCUGAACUGGAUUCACGAGGAGACGCACAGCUCUGUGGGUUGUUGAAUUUGAGGCUUGGAGAGUGGGGCAGGGGCCAAUGUCUCCACAGCAUGCCAGUCUCUAUUUAUCAGGGUCAGAGGCAAGGGAGGCCAAUAAAAGGCUGCUUAUGGUAUUUGUCACCAAAAGAAAAAUGCCUCAGAAUGGAGCUGGCUUAAAGGCCUGAAGCCUGUAAUUGAAAUGUGAAGGUCUUACUCUUCUAGGGGCUGUGGAGGUAAUAACUUAUAU